AUGGUGUGGAUGGCUGGGUGGGUGACAGGUAUCCAGACACCUUCAGAUGCAGAGCAGACAAGUCCCUGCUGCCUCAGUGUCCCCUGCUGGAAUGGGGUGAUCUGUCCUGGGAAACUCACAGCUUCACAUCCAGGCCAGAUGCCCCAAGAACCUGACCUUGCUCACUGCCAGAGCAGCAUUCCCUUCCCAUCCCAUGUGGCUGCCAGGCAUGUGCCAACAGUGCCAAGCCUGUUGUCAUGCUCCAGCAGGAUUAAAUCCUCCAGUAGAAUGGUAGCACACCUGAAAAUGCCACCCUGGACUCCAGCAACUUCAACAGGGCUGAGGAAGAUACACACACAUCCAUUUUCUUUUGAACUCCAUGCCCCAGACAACCCGUGCCUGAUUACAGCUCCUCUCCUGAGGCUGCAUCUCUCCCUCAGCUUUGGCAGUGGCUGGAGCACAGGGAUCUCACCACAGGAACCCUCCCACAGCCAUGCUGACAUCUCUGCCUUUGCUUCUCCUGGAGGUGCUGCAGCCCAGCUCAGCCACACAGGUUUCUAUCACCAGCACACCCUCAGCUGAGUACAUAAGGAUCCAGACCCAGUCUCUUGGCAGGACACACAUACAAAACCACUUUACAUCUGCAUUCAUUAAG
rnacentral:lncRNA from 1 species